UACGGGGGGGACAAGCGUUGUUCGGAAUUACUGGGCGUAAAGGGCGCGUAGGCGGAUCGUUAAGUCAGAGGUGAAAGCCCAGGGCUCAACCCUGGAAUUGCCUUUGAUACUGGCGAUCUUGAGUACGGGAGAGGUGUGUGGAACUCCGAGUGUAGAGGUGAAAUUCGUAGAUAUUCGGAAGAACACCAGUGGCGAAGGCGACACACUGGCCCGUUACUGACGCUGAGGCGCGAAAGCGUGGGGAGCAAACAGG
rnacentral:rRNA from 1 species